rnacentral:lncRNA from 1 species
CGGGUCUUAUCCUAGUUGAUAUAUAUACGUCCAUGCAGAUGAAUCUAGAUUUGAAUAUCACGUCCAUAUACAUUUUUUUUUUGCCAUCUGUAUUAUAAUUAAAAACCAAACAUUAUAAAAGGCCAAGAAAGUGGCCGGAAACAUUACAGCUAAAGGCCCAAAGAUGAACAAUAAUAAGCAAAGACCAAACAAGGUCCAACCAGGCCCAGACAACAAAAAUCAUGUUUCCACUUGAUCACCACGCGAUAAAGAUAAGCGAGAAAGGAACGACACGUAGAACAAAUGAAACACACGUGUCACACGAAACGGCCACCGUCUUCACAGAAAGAAAGUCAUCACCGGAGCAACUUCCGGACGGCCACCGGAACACACCGGAAACAGGACGCCGCAGAAAAAGAAACCGUCGGACGACUUUAGCCAAUUAAGAGCCAAAACACCAUUGAAUGACUUCACCGAUAAGAAAUGUCAUCGACAACCUCCAAUCGUAAGUUUCACCGUAAACAAACCGGAACAGAAACCCCAAUCAAAGAGAUCGCCAUGAACGAUGAUGGGAAUUGAGAGACCAUUCGCCAAAACGCCUUAGUUAUUAACGUCAGAUCAGUAGACAACAGAGGAAGAUUGAUCGAAGAAACUCAAAAGUAGAUCCUCUUGCAAAGACCAACAGACGCGAAUCGAGACUAAAGCCAAACAACAAAACCGAAAAAAUCUCGGAGAUAAACCAACGACUCCACCGAAGGAAAAGGUAGAUUGUCUGAAACGCAGCCAGCGGUCAUCGGAGAAAAAGAUGCUCCGCCGGAGUCAGAAGCCGGAUUGCUCCGCCUACAGAAGACGCGAACAACCGGAGCCAUAAGCCGGCCAACGGUGCUAAGGAAGUCACCAGAUGCCGGAACUGGAUCAUCAUCUCCGGAUAAAGGAAGCCGGAGAAGAUCAACAGACGAAUCUCAAACCUCUCUCUAAAAGAUAUUGAAGAGAUAAGAGAGAGGUUAUCGUGUUAUCACGUCCAUAUACAUAUAUAACGAAAAGUGUAAUUAGCAUAAACAAAAUGUAAAAUCGAAGUAGUCCACAUGCUCAAAUAAGCUCAGACGAAGGACGUAAUGACAACUGAAUCCUAGAACUAAAAAGUCUCUCGAGCCCUGAAGAAAAUCUUAUUAAAAGCCCACUCGUUGUAGGCCCAUGCCAACUUCCCCCCCAAAAUUAUUCUUUAAUAUUGUGCUAUACAGGCAUUAAUUGUAAACUAGAGUUUCAGAAGCGCAGGUGUUUGUUUUAGUUACAUAGAUCAAUAUUUUGUAUAUAUAUAGAUUAUGUAGUAUAUGUUUUAAAAUUGACAUGUAUUAAAUAUCUGUUUAAUAAAAUGUUUGUAAAUUCGGAUUGGACCGGGUUUAACUCGAACUGACGAUCCAAUAAACUGGCCAAAUCCUGACUCGUAUAUAAACCAAAAUUCUGUUAAUAAAGCAAUUAUUUUUUUAAAAGAAAGAAGGGUUUGUGAAAGAUUAAUAAAGUAUCAUCAUCUCGUUUUUUUUUACGUCUCUGGAACUCACAAAUCACAAGAUUUACAUAUUUAAAUCUCCAAGUCUAGUUUUUGGUCUACUUCUCACUUUGUUUAAAUAUUAUUUCAUGAUCACUUGAUUUUCUGAAUUAGACGAUAAUGUUUUUGAAAAAUACCCUAAAGAUGGCGAAGAAUUCAAUCAUGGUACGAUUUUAUAAAAUAAUGUGUAUAUCAUUUUUUAAAUGUGAUGAAAAUUUAGAGUGAUAAAGACAUAGAGAAUAAAGUUUAAAUGUUUUUGUAUUGAUUUUAGAUUUGAUGCAUGAAAUUAUUUUAUUACAUUUUGAGUUGUUCAUUUUAUAAGUUUUUCUAGAUAUUAUGGUUAUUGAAAUAUUUUAUUUGAUAUGAUCUAUCUUUGUAAAAAUAUGCAUAUUAUUUACAAAAUAUCUUUAAAUUCAGUUUAACCAAUUAAACCCAGUCGAACCACAAUGAUUCAUGACCCUAAAUAUUUUUGGUUCGCUAGUCUGUUCCAUUUUAAAACACUGGAUUAAUUUGACAUUUGGAUACAAAAUAAAUAUUACAUGUUUAUUUUUAGGUAAUAACAUUCAUAGAAUAAUACAUAUCUGCUUUUUUGUUAAUGAUCUUGUUUGGGUGAACAAAAACUUAUCUAAAUCAUGAUAACUUUAAAUAACAAAAUAAAAUGGCUAUUAUUUGUCCAAACUUUAAAGGAAUUGCAUAUAUGUAAAUAAGUAUCUCAUAAUGCAAAGAAAUGUUGUUGACUUAAAACAAUAUACAAGAUAAGUCUUCUUGGACCCUAUGCAUGAAACUCCAUCAUCCGUGGCUGGGAAACGAAACCUGCAAAGACCAAAACAUUUUUAAAUAAAUAUGUUUGUUCAUUCUUUCCAAGUGUAGUCAACUUUAAAUACAGAUAUUGCAAAAAAAAAAUCUUGUAGCCAUGUAUUGAUGUUUAUAAGAAAUAUUAUCCAUACCUCGUCCAUAGAUCCAUUGAGAUUUUUUGUGGCUUUUUCUGUAAAAGAUCCCUUUGCUAUCCAAUCUGGCAAAUGUCAUGUUCUUAUGCCGUCAAAAACUAUUCAGAUAUAUAAGUGUAAGAGUUGAGACGCAACGAACUAUUAGCUCCAUCUCCUCUCAAAAGGUUAACCAAUGACUCCAUCUGUCCACGUCUAGAGAUACAUAUAUAAAUAUAUAAUGAAGUCACAAAAGUAUUGCAUUACAACUCAACCCUAACACAGUUGUGUGUGGACUUAGUCUCUCAUCUUCGCUGAGAAAGAGAGAUAGAAAACAUAAUCGACUUUUCUUGGCCUAUAUAUAUUCUAGAUACACAUUUUGCCGAACCUCAGCCGUGCAUUAUCGACAUAUAUUCAGUGCCGUACGAAGACUACUGAUGCCAAGUUUCAACCUUCCACUAUCUCUAACAAUCUCAAUCAAACGACCAAUAGGGUACCAAAUAUGUCCAAAACAAAAAAAGACAUCUCGCAACAGAGUUUGCCUUACCCACUUACCCCACAGAGACUCAGAAUCUGAGAAAAGGGUCCAUAUCAACUUAAGUACAAAGACCAGCAAGGCAUCUCUGAUUUUUCUUAUCCCCAAGCCUCCUUCUUUCUUAAGGCUAGAGACCUCAUCCCACGCUACCUUUGUUCGAGUGGUUAUGUUUGGAGAGCCACUCCAAAGAAAUGUUGAGCACAUACUUUCAAUCUCAUCAAUACAACUUCGAGACAAGCAAAAUGCUGAGCACCAAAAGUUCGUGAUGCUGGCAAUGACCGAAUUAAUCAAUUGUAGACGACCUGCGAAAGAGAGGGCUUUACUUGUCCAACUCAGUAACAUGUUCCGAAUCUUCACCAGUAGAGGCUCAUAAUCAUUGUGUGUCAUUGUCCUUGUUGUGAGAGGCAGACCCAAGUACUUAAUUGGAAGAGCUGAUACUGAGAGGCCAGCUGCUCCUGCAGCAGCUUCCAGCACCUGUUUACCUCUUCCCGCUGCAAAGAUAGUAGAUUUGGCCACAUUUAUCCGCAGUCCAGACAUCCGAGCAAAUUUGUAACACCCCAAAACCCAAAACCCAAAAAAUUUUGGGUAAAGGCCCGCUCUGCGGCCCAUUAGGAUUAAAACCCCUAGGGUUUCCAUGCCUCCCUUAUAAAAGCAAGCUCCCACCCUUCUAGUCUCUCAUCAGAAACUUAGAAGCGAAGCCCUGCAGAGAACUCCCGGAGAUCAGAAGCCCUAGCCGUCGUCUCUCUCUCUUCCGCGCCGCCUCUUCUCUUUCUCUCUUCGCCGCGGCUCUUCUCUCUCUCUCUCCUCGCCGCGCCUCUUCUCUCUCUCUCGGACGACUCUCUCUCUCCUCGCCGUGAGCAACCGCGAGUGGUGGUGGUGGUCGUGUGGUGUCCGUAUUCUCAACUCUCACUUCUCUCGCCUCUCAUCUCAGAUCCAGAACUAGAUCUAGGCUAAGGUGAGGUGUUCUACCCAGAUCUCUUUCAUGUUCUUCUAUAUUGUUGAAUGUGGAUCUAGGAUUGAGUAGAUCCUGGUUGUUGUUAGGUUGAUAGAUCAUGUUGCAUUAGAACUCUCGUACUGAUUUAGGAUUCUAAAUAGACCGGUGUGAUGAUGACUGAUUGAUUGUUUGAUUGGUUGAAGAUCUGUGGUUGUGAUUGAGAGCUAGGAUGAUUAGAAAAGAAAUGAACGUAGGAUAUCAAGAGAACUGUUAACCGGUCUGGUUAGAUGAAUGAUAGGAUAUCCAUGACUGAUUGUUAAAUGGAUUGAGUGUGACACCGAGAACGGGUGGCGUCUAAAAAGGAAAGUAAGAAAGAGUCUAAGGGUUAAGGAAAAGGAAAUAAAAGAAAAAGGUAAUGACGAAUGAUUGGAAUACGAACCACCGAGGGACUGGUGGCGAGUAUGGGAAAUGAAUAGAAAUGGAAUACGAACCACCGAGGGACUGGUGGGGAGUAUGGGAAAACGCGGCGGCCGUAGGGGUCCAAAACGGCAACCUCCUCUGUGGGUUGCUAAGCCACAUUGCCAACACAACCCCAACCAGACUCACAACAGGUGCAGCAGCCAGAAACAGCCAUCUUCCUCUGCUAACACUCCUCACACCAGCCUCACUCUCACCUCUCACUACAUCAUGAUCCUCCUCUUCCCCACCUUCUGUGCCAUCAUCAUCAGAAGAGCUAUCCUCGCUCACCACAUCCACCACGUUCUGCUUCCGGUCUUCGUAGUCUUUAUCAUCCGUCGGAAGCUCGUACCGGCACAGCGGGCAGGAGUUACGAGCACUAAGCCAAGGCACAAUACAAUGGGGAUGGUACAGAUGGAGACAAGGAAGCUGCGUGGUCUCAUUACCGAGUGAGAAAACCUCCUUGCAGACCGCACAAUCUAGCCCCUCCUCUCGGAUGAUAACCCUCGGAAGAUUCCUGACACAGGACAUAGAAGCAGGCGGCGCACCUCUUCUCGAGUUGUCGGAGUCAGCAAGCUGCUCAAGGAGCUCCUCAAAGCCUCUCUCGUCGAGAUAGUCAGCAACGUUUCCAGGGUAGCGAGAGAACUCCAAAUCUUCCAGACCAGUGAAGAUGUUGCGAGAUAACGCUUGUCUCCUCUCUAUGAUUCUUUGACGGAAGGUUCUCUCUAAGUCAAGUGAAUCAAACCGAGUCACGGAGCUGUUGCUCUCACUUGGAGUUCUACUAUGCCUUGCUCCUUCCUCCUCCCAUUCUCUGUCUUCGUCGUCUGAGAUCCACUGGUUCAGACCAGCGUGCAUAGGGUCGAUAUCAGUGUCAAACUCAAUGUCGGUGGAAGCAGCAUCAGACUCACCACCGUAAGCACUACCAAGCGAAGAGAACCUGUAGAGGCUAAAGCUAGCGUUCGACAAGUUAUCAAGAUCUUCGCUUUCGGAUUCGGACAAGACCCUCCAUCUCGCUGAACCGUCUGGUGUCGCGUGAGAGCUGGUUUCAUUACCUUGGAGGCUCUGUCUUGCGAUGCUUAUCAGAUGGGUGAACUGCUGCUGUUGUUGAUCGGCGACGGAUUCGGAGGAGCUCCCUUGCCUGCUGCUGCUGCUUCUCCUCCUUCUCAUCCUCAUCCUUCUUCUCCGAGAUGUUUGGCGACGGGUCAAGGGAGGAGGGGUGGUGCCGAAGUCUUGGAGGAGGAGGAACUUGCAGUCUCCGCAUAAGCUGAAGAUUUCGAGAUCGUCGGGGGCGGUGGUGGAUUCAGGGAUGAGUCUUCCGCAGAGGUUGCACGAUGGAGAUGGGGUUUGAUUGGUGACGUCGUCUUGAGAUUCCAUAGGAUCCCGAAAGGAGGAAGCUUUGAGGUCUGAGAAGAGGUUAGAUACACGACCUGGUCGUGAAAAGGCCGGAUCUUUCAGAGCUAGGAAGGAAACAAGAGGAUGGGGUUUGGUGAAGGGAGGAGAUUGCAAGGAAAUGGAUUUUAAUGGCUGAAAGGGGGUCAACAACGACGACGAAGACGACGGAUCCUUUUUUCUUUUUUUUUCGACAGUAUAGCAAUAGAAGUCUCUGCUUUAUGAAGAGGGUUCCCUCCUGCUUAUAUUUUUGUCCAAACGGACGUUUGGUGGGGACAUUAUUGCAAACCGGAUUGCGGAAAAGAAGUUUGGUACGAUGUUGGAUUGGCGAUCGGUUUUUAAUUAGAUUUUCUUUUGUGAAAAUUUAUUGAUCACCGGGAAGAAUGUUAAAUGUACAACUAAUUGGUAUAAAUUUACUCCCACCUAAAAAUAAGAAACCUAAUCAGCAUGAGCUGAACUAGCAUUGUAUAGUCCCUGCAGUUUUUCCUUCUCAUAAUACUUUGUAGAUAAGAUCCUCUGCCUUAUAGUCUUUUCAAUGAACUUAGCCAGCUGGUUAACAGGCGUGGCAGGUUGAGCAUGUCGUCUCCCAUUCCGUUCCUUCCAUAUGUAGUAGAUGGACACUUGGAAAGCUAGUCUCAAGAGUAUGGACGAUAGCAGCCCCACAGAACCUGCCAUUAUCCUUGCUAAAAUCUCGUUCCGUAAUGUUCCAUUACGGAGAUGGAGCUGGCUGCAAGAGUGAGUCAAUCACUUGUAGCCAAAGGGUGUAUGUGUAUGGGCAAGCGAAAAACAGGUGAUCACGAGUUUCAUCCGGUUCCCCACAUAACAAACAACAUUGAACCUGUCCCCAAGCUCUCAUUCUGCUACCCGUAGAUAUCCGAUCUCUGAUUGCCAACCAAGUUAUAAACGAAUACCUUGGUACUCCCUGUGCAAACCACACGAGCUUACUCCAGGGGACAGUAGGUCGUCUAGUACAAAUCAGUUCCCAUGUUACUGAAGCAGAGAAAUCUCUUCCAUAAUCAUCCUCCCGUUUUUUCAGAGUGCACUAUCAGUUACAUUUGUCAAUCAUGCUCUUAACAUUAACGUCCCGUGUGUGGCAGAAUCUUCACACAUUUCCCACAAGGACAUCCGCUAUACAAGCUUGUCUACUGAUGCCAAGUUUCAGCUUUCCACGAUCUCCAACAAUUUCAAUCAAACGACCAAUAGGGUGCCAAAUAUAUGUCAAAAACUUCACUAAUUUUCCAUCAUGAAUAUCUAUCCUGAAAAACUUCUACGCAAUCGGUCUGAGCUGGAAAAGUUUUUUCCAGACCCAAGAACCUGUUGAGCCCUCCCUAGCGUCCCAAAAGGAGACAUCUCGCAACAGAGUUGCCUUACCCACUUACCCUCUAGAGACUCAGAAACUGAGAAAAGGCGUCAUAUCAAUUUAAGUGCAAAGACCAGCAAGGCAUCUCUGAUUUUCCUUAUCCCCAAGCCUCCUUCCUUCUUAAGGCUAGAGACCUCAUCCCACGCUACCUUUGUUCGAGUGGUUAUGUUUGGAGAGCCACUCCAAAGAAAUGUUGAGCACAUACUUUCAAUCUCAUCAAUACAACUUCGAGACAAGCAAAAUGCUGAGCACCAAAAGUUCGUGAUGCUGGCAAUGACCGAAUUAAUCAAUUGUAGACGACCUGCGAAAGAGAGGGCUUUACUUGUCCAACUCAGUAACAUGUUCCGAAUCUUCACCAGUAGAGGCUCAUAAUCAUUGUGUGUCAUUGUCCUUGUUGUGAGAGGCAGACCCAAGUACUUAAUUGGAAGAGCUGAUACUGAGAGGCCAGCUGCUCCUGCAGCAGCUUCCAGCACCUGUUUACCUCUUCCCGCUGCAAAGAUAGUAGAUUUGGCCACAUUUAUCCGCAGUCCAGACAUCCGAGCAAAUUUGUAACACCCCAAAACCCAAAACCCAAAAAAUUUUGGGUAAAGGCCCGCUCUGCGGCCCAUUAGGAUUAAAACCCCUAGGGUUUCCAUGCCUCCCUUAUAAAAGCAAGCUCCCACCCUUCUAGUCUCUCAUCAGAAACUUAGAAGCGAAGCCCUGCAGAGAACUCCCGGAGAUCAGAAGCCCUAGCCGUCGUCUCUCUCUCUUCCGCGCCGCCUCUUCUCUUUCUCUCUUCGCCGCGGCUCUUCUCUCUCUCUCUCCUCGCCGCGCCUCUUCUCUCUCUCUCGGACGACUCUCUCUCUCCUCGCCGUGAGCAACCGCGAGUGGUGGUGGUGGUCGUGUGGUGUCCGUAUUCUCAACUCUCACUUCUCUCGCCUCUCAUCUCAGAUCCAGAUCCAGAUCUAGGCUAAGGUGAGGUGUUCUACCCAGAUCUCUUUCAUGUUCUUCUAUAUUGUUGAAUGUGGAUCUAGGAUUGAGUAGAUCCUGGUUGUUGUUAGGUUGAUAGAUCAUGUUGCAUUAGAACUCUCGUACUGAUUUAGGAUUCUAAAUAGACCGGUGUGAUGAUGACUGAUUGAUUGUUUGAUUGGUUGAAGAUCUGUGGUUGUGAUUGAGAGCUAGGAUGAUUAGAAAAGAAAUGAACGUAGGAUAUCAAGAGAACUGUUAACCGGUCUGGUUAGAUGAAUGAUAGGAUAUCCAUGACUGAUUGUUAAAUGGAUUGAGUGUGACACCGAGAACGGGUGGCGUCUAAAAAGGAAAGUAAGAAAGAGUCUAAGGGUUAAGGAAAAGGAAAUAAAAGAAAAAGGUAAUGACGAAUGAUUGGAAUACGAACCACCGAGGGACUGGUGGCGAGUAUGGGAAAUGAAUAGAAAUGGAAUACGAACCACCGAGGGACUGGUGGGGAGUAUGGGAAAACGCGGCGGCCGUAGCGUUCAAAAACGGCAGGUUAAGAAUAGAGGCGCCGGUAAGAUUACCCACUCUGAAAAUUUUGUGAUCAAUAGAUUAUUUUUUUGUUAUAAUAAGUUACAAAUGAUCAUAAAAUAUAACGCAUAUGCAUUUUUAUUUAAAAAAUAUUCAAACUAAAUAAUAUAUAUAUAUAUAUAUAUAUAUAUAUAAACACUAAUGAUUUAAAGCAACAAGAUUGGCUGAUCAAUUUAGUCGUCCAGUUGAAAUCUUUCAAAAGUAUGUGAAAGACUAAAGUCAAAGUAAAUAUGGAUUUAGAAUAGUAGUUAUAUUUUACUAACCAAAUACCAAAAAAAAACGAACCGAACCGAAACCAACCCGAUAUCCGGAUUGAACACCCGUAAUCUAAAUGAAGCCAAACUAUUGUUUCAUUCUCCAAAAUAUAACAAAAAUAAUAACUUAAUCCCGUGCAAGGCGCGGGUUUUAUCCUAGUUGAUAUAUAUACGUCCAUGCAGAUGAAUCUAGAUUUGAAUAUCACGUCCAUAUACAUUUUUUUUUGCCAUCUGUAUUAUAAUUAAAAACCAAACAUUAUAAAAGGCCAAGAAAGUGGCCGGAAACAUUACAGCUAAAGGCCCAAAGAUGAACAAUAAUAAGCAAAGACCAAACAAGGUCCAACCAGGCCCAGACAACAAAAAUCAUGUUUCCACUUGAUCACCACGCGAUAAAGAUAAGCGAGAAAGGAACGACACGUAGAACAAAUGAAACACACGUGUCACACGAAACGGCCACCGUCUUCACAGAAAGAAAGUCAUCACCGGAGCAACUUCCGGACGGCCACCGGAACACACCGGAAACAGGACGCCGCAGAAAAAGAAACCGUCGGACGACUUUAGCCAAUUAAGAGCCAAAACACCAUUGAAUGACUUCACCGAUAAGAAAUGUCAUCGACAACCUCCAAUCGUAAGUUUCACCGUAAACAAACCGGAACAGAAACCCCAAUCAAAGAGAUCGCCAUGAACGAUGAUGGGAAUUGAGAGACCAUUCGCCAAAACGCCUUAGUUAUUAACGUCAGAUCAGUAGACAACAGAGGAAGAUUGAUCGAAGAAACUCAAAAGUAGAUCCUCUUGCAAAGACCAACAGACGCGAAUCGAGACUAAAGCCAAACAACAAAACCGAAAAAAUCUCGGAGAUAAACCAACGACUCCACCGAAGGAAAAGGUAGAUUGUCUGAAACGCAGCCAGCGGUCAUCGGAGAAAAAGAUGCUCCGCCGGAGUCAGAAGCCGGAUUGCUCCGCCUACAGAAGACGCGAACAACCGGAGCCAUAAGCCGGCCAACGGUGCUAAGGAAGUCACCAGAUGCCGGAACUGGAUCAUCAUCUCCGGAUAAAGGAAGCCGGAGAAGAUCAACAGACGAAUCUCAAACCUCUCUCUAAAAGAUAUUGAAGAGAUAAGAGAGAGGUUAUCGUGUUAUCACGUCCAUAUACAUAUAUAACGAAAAGUGUAAUUAGCAUAAACAAAAUGUAAAAUCGAAGUAGUCCACAUGCUCAAAUAAGCUCAGACGAAGGACGUAAU